UACCGCAUAAGCCCCGAGGGGGAAAGUGGGGGACCAGCAAUGGCCUCACGCUAACAGAGCGGCCGAUGUCUGAUUAGCUAGUUGGUGAGGUAAAGGCUCACCAAGGCGACGAUCAGUAGCGGGUCUUAGAGGACGAUCCGCCACACUGGAACUGAGACACGGUCCAGACUCCUACGGGAGGCAGCAGUGGGGAAUCUUGGACAAUGGGCGCAAGCCUGAUCCAGCAAUGCCGCGUGGGUGAAGAAGGCCUUCGGGUUGUAAAGCCCUUUUGUUUGGGAGCAAAUCCUAACGGUUAAUACCUGUUGGGGAUGAGAGUACCAAAAGAAUCAGCACCGGCUAACUACGUGCCAGCAGCCGCGGUAAUACGUAGGGUGCAAGCGUUAAUCGGAAUUACUGGGCGUAAAGCGUGCGCAGGUGGUUUUGCAAGACCGACGUGAAAGCCCCGGGCUCAACCUGGGAACGGCGUAGGUGACUGCAAGACUAGAGUGUGGCAGAGGGGGGUGGAAUUCCAUGUGUAGCAGUGAAAUGCGUAGAGAUGUGGAGGAACACCGAUGGCGAAGGCAGCCCCCUGGGCUAACACUGACACUCAUGCACGAAAGCGUGGGGAGCAAACAGGAUUAGAUACCCUGGUAGUCCACGCCCUAAACGAUGUCUACUGGUUGUUGGGGAUUUCGAUCCUUGGUAACGAAGCUAACGCGAGAAGUA
rnacentral:rRNA from 1 species